GUAUUGGAUAUUGGAAUGGUUGAGGUAUUAGAAUGGUUGAGAUAAAGGAAUGGUUGAGAUAUUGGAAUGGUUGAGGUAUUAGAAUGGUUGAGGUAUUAGAAUGGUUGAGGUAUUGGAUAUUGGAAUGGUUGAGAUAUUAGAAUGGUUGAGAUAAUGGAAUGGUUGAGAUAUUGGAAUGGUUGAGGUAUUAGAAUGGUUGAGAUAAAGGAAUGGUUGAGAUAAUGGAAUGGUUGAGAUAUUGGAAUGGUUGAGGUAUUAGAAUGGUUGAGAUAAAGGAAUGGUUGAGAUAAUGGAAUGGUUGAGAUAUUGGAAUGGUUGAGGUAU
rnacentral:lncRNA from 1 species